GAUGAACGCUGGCGGCGUGCCUAAUACAUGCAAGUCGAGCGAACAGACGAGGAGCUUGCUCCUCUGACGUUAGCGGCGGACGGGUGAGUAACACGUGGAUAACCUACCUAUAAGACUGGGAUAACUUCGGGAAACCGGAGCUAAUACCGGAUAAUAUAUUGAACCGCAUGGUUCAAUAGUGAAAGACGGUUUUGCUGUCACUUAUAGAUGGAUCCGCGCCGCAUUAGCUAGUUGUUAAGGUAACGGCUUACCAAGGCAACGAUGCGUAGCCGACCUGAGAGGGUGAUCGGCCACACGGGAACUGAGGCACGGUCCAGACUCCUACGGGAGGCAGCAGUAGGGAAUCUUCCGCAAUGGGGGAAAGCCUGACGGAGCAACGCCGCGUGAGUGAUGAAGGUCUUCGGCUCGUAAAGCUCUGUUAUUAGGGAAGAACAAAUGUGUAAGUAACUAUGCACGUCUUGACGGUACCUAAUCAGAAAGCCACGGCUAACUACGUG
rnacentral:rRNA from 1 species